CCUACGGGAGGCAGCAGUGGGGAAUAUUGCACAAUGGGGGAAACCCUGAUGCAGCGACGCCGCGUGAGUGAAGAAGUAAUUCGUUAUGUAAAGCUCUAUCAGCAGGGAAGAAAAUGACGGUACCUGAGUAAGAAGCCACGGCUAACUACGCGCCAGCAGCCGCGGUAAUACGUAGGGCGCAAGCGUUCUCCGGAUUUACUGGGUGUAAAGUGAGCGUAGGCGGCAGUGCAAGUCUGGAGUGAAAGGCGGGGGCUCAACCCGCGGACUGCUCCGGAGACUGUACAGCUGGAGUGCAGUAGAGGGAAGUAGAAUUCCUAGUGUAGCGGUGAAAUGCGUAGAUAUUAGGAGGAACAUCAGUGGCGAAGGCGGCUUACUGGACAGUAACUGACGUUGAGGCGCGAAAGCGUGGGGAGCAAACAGGAUUAGAUACCCGGGUAGUC
rnacentral:rRNA from 1 species